UUGGUCAAGGGAGCUGUUACUCACCCGAACUUUCAAACGGACAUUCCAUACGUCAAACCUUCACACUAUUUCUAUCUCCUGAAAAAGUUGCACAGUUGCGGACAAAUGAAAUUAAACAGUAUACGCAAUGGAAAGCCUGUGCAGACGACAGCAAUGCAAAGAACGGUUCGAAUUGCAAGCCUGUGCUUUGCCCAUUGGGCAGACUGUUUACGACCAACUCCAAGUGUUUAUUCAUCUCGAACUAUUUCUCUGUCCAGGGGCUAUCAAUUUUCCUCAAGAUUGAUUUGAAGAUUCCUAUUCUCGUGCAUCAAAACAACAAUACAAGUAAUUAUUUAUCGAAGAAACCGAAAAUAUUAGCAAAGCCACUUAAUGUCUGGAGGGUCAAGAAGGCGUUUUACAGUGUUUUGAAAAUCUCGCAAAGCGUUAUUGAAAUACGACAUUUAGCUCUUUAUAUGGAGUUCAAAACGCUAGGACCCCUGGAUAAUGUAAUCCUGGACGAAAUAGAGGAUUUUAUGAUGGGAGACGUUCACAUAGUGAUUGACAACAGCAAGUCGUUGUGUUCUGUUGAAAUUUUCCCUUGCAAUAUUCAGAGGUUUAAUGUGGAAGAAAAGUAUAACACAAAUAUAGAUCGUUGGAUAGAGAUCACUGAUAAGCCUUUGUCAUUAACUGGAUAUUAUGCUUUAGCGGAGUAUCACUUUUGCUACUUAAUUCAGUUAUGUGACCUGGAAAUCGACCUUCCAAUAUUCCUAGAAACGAAAGUUGUCAUAAAACAAACUGGAAUGGUUCUCUACAAUUACCAGUUCCAGUACAUCGAGACAGAACAAUCUAAAUGUGUAAGGGUUUGUAUACAGAACACUCAAUACCAACUACAAGUGAAUGGAAGCUCAAACGACAAACUGAUUUAUUUAGAAUUCAAAACCUUAUGUCGGCUGUUUUUCCUACCAAUGUAUGUGAUGGCUUCGAUAUUAGCGAAUCGAAACACCCAAGUCCUGUAAAAAAAUAUUAUACUGAUUUCAUUUCGUAUGCAGUGUUUUUGUUAUUGCAUAUUGCUACUUAAACAGUUAGAUCACAAGCUAAAUCAUUAAAGGCGCAUCUAUCUAUCGCAGAAAAACAGCACAUGCUACAAUGACAAAUGAGAAAGUUCAAUCAUUGUUGCUUUAUGUGAAAACGAUAAAAACAGACGUGACUUCACUUUCGAUGGAUCGCGAAAAUCGAGGUAUUUUGCACAUAUAUGAUUACUACGACGGCUGUAAAUGCCAGAGGCGUUGAAAUCAUUUUUGUUUACAUUUAAGCGAACAUGCUGUCGUCAAUACCGGCGAAAUAUAUUUGUGUAAGAAAUUGACAUAGUAUGAAUGCAAAUUUGUGUAAUUUGUGUUGCUGUUGUUUUUUUUUAAUUGUCAGUUUUUGUUCAGAAAGAUACAAUAUAAGCCUUUAUA